AAGGUGAGAGGAAGGUGGGGAUGACGUCAAAUCAGCACGGCCCUUAUGUCCAGGGCUACACACGUGUUACAAUGGCCAGUACAAAGGGCAGCUACCGGGUGACCGGAUGCUAAUCUCUAAAGCUGGUCUCAGUUCGGAUCGAAGUCUGCAACCCGACUUCGUGGAAGCUGGAUUCGCUAGUAAUCGCGGAUCAGCACGCCGCGGUGAAUACGGUUCCCGGGCCUU
rnacentral:rRNA from 1 species